CGUGGAGGCAUGGGGUGGGUUGGAAGGGUCCUUAAAGAUCAUAGAGCCAUGGAAUGGUUGAGGUAAAAGGGUUCUUAAAGAUGGUAGAUGCAUGGGAUGGGAUGGAAGGGUCCUUGGAGGUGGUAGAGGCAUGGAAUGGUUGGGUUAGAAGGGUUCUUAUAGAGCAUGGAGGCAUGGGGUGGGUUGGAAGGGUCCUAAGAGGACGUAGAGCCAUGGGGUGGUUGGGGUAGAAGGAUUCUUAAAGAUGGUAGAUGGAUGGGAUGGGUUGGAAGAGUCCUUAAAGAUCAUAGAGCCACGGAAUGGUCGGGUUAGAAGGGUUCUUAAAGAUCGUAGAUGCGUGGGAUGGGUUGGAAGGGUCCUUAGAGGUGGUAGAGGCAUGGGGUGGUUGGGGUAGAAGGGUUCUUAAAGUUCAUAGAUGCAUGGGAUGGGCUGCAAGGGUCCUUAGAGGUCGUAGAGACGUGGAAUGGUCGGGUUAGAAGGGUUCUUAAAGAUGGUAGAUGCAUGGGAUGGGAUGGAAGGGUCCUUGGAGGUGGUAGAGGCAUGGAAUGGUUGGGAUAAAAGGGUUCUUAUAGAGCGUGGAGGCUUGGGGUGGGUUGGAAAGGUCCUAAGAGGCCGUAGAGCCGUGGGGUGGUUGGGGUAGAAGGGUUCUUAAAGAUCGUAGAUGCAUGGGAUGGGUUGGAAGAGUCCUUAGAGGACGUAGUGGCAUGGAAUGGUUGGGGUAAAAGGGUUCUUAAAGAUCAUAAAUGCAUGGGGUGGGUUGGAAGGGUCCUUAAAGAUCAUAGAGCCAUGGGGUGGUUGGGGUAAAAGGGUUCUUAAAGAUCGUAGAUGCAUGGGAUGGGUUGGAAGGGUCCUUAGAGGUCGUAGAGGCAUGGGGUGGUUGGGGUAAAAGGGUUCUUAAAGAUCAUAGAUGCAUGGGAUGGGUUGGAAGGGCCCUUAGAGGUCAUAGAGCCGUGGAAUGGUCGGGUUAGAAGGGUUCUUAAAGAUUGUAGAUGCAUGGGGUGGGCUGCAAGGGUCCUUAAAGAUCAUAGAGCCAUGGAAUGGUUGGGUUAGAAGGGUUCUUAAAGAUGGUAGAUGCAUGGGGUGGGUUGGAAGGGUCCUUAGAGGACGUAGAACUGUGGGGUGGUUGGGGUAAAAGGGUUCUUAAAGAUGGUAGAUGCAUGGGAUGGGUUGGAAGGGUCCUUAAAGAUCAUAGAGCCAUGGACUGGUUGAGGUAAAAGGGUUCUUAAAGAUGGUAGAUGCAUGGGAUGGGAUGGAAGGCUCCUUAGAGGUCGUAGAGGCAUGGAGUGGUUGGGUUAGAAGGGUUCUUAACGAUUGUAGAUGCAUGGGAUGGGUUGGAAGGGUCCUUAGAGGUGGUACAGAUGUGGAAUGGUUGGGGUAAAAGGGUUCUUAAAAAUCGUAGAUGCAUGGAAUGGGUUGGAAGGGUCCUUAAAGAUCAUAGAGCCGUGGUUUGGUUGAGGUAAAAGGGUUCUUAAAGAUGGUAGAUGCAUGGGAUGGGUUGGAAGGGUCCUUAAAGAUCAUAGAGCCAUGGAAUGGUUGAGGUAAAAGGGUUCUUAAAGAUGGUAGAUGCAUGGGAUGGGAUGGAAGGGUCCUUAGAGGUCGUAGAGGCAUGGAAUGGUCAGGUUAGAAGGGUUCUUAAAGAUUGUAGAUGCAUGGGAUGGGAUGGAAGGGUCCUUAGAGGUCGUAGAGGCAUGGAAUGGUUGGGUUAGAAGGGUUCUUAUAGAGCAUGGAGGCAUGGGGUGGGUUGGAAGGGUCCUAAGAGGACGUAGAGCCGUGGGGUGGUUGGGGUAGAAGGGUUCUUAAAGAUCAUAGAUGCAUGGGAUGGGUUGGAAGGGUCCUUAAAGAUCAUAGAGCCAUGGAAUGGUUGAGGUAAAAGGGUUCUUAAAGAUCGUAGAUGCAUGGGAUGAGUUGGAAGGGUUCUUAGGGGCCGUAGAGGCAUGGAAUGGUUGGGUUAGAAGGGUUCUUAAAGAUGGUAGAUGCAUGGGAUGGGAUGGAAGGGUCCUUGGAGGUGGUAGAGGCAUGGAAUGGUUGGGAUAAAAGGGUUCUUAUAGAGCGUGGAGGCAUGGGGUGGGUUGGAAGGGUCCUAAGAGGACGUAGAGCCGUGGGGUGGUUGGGGUAGAAGGGUUCUUAAAGAUGGUAGAUGCAUGGGAUGGGUUGGAAGAGUCCUUAGAGGCCGUAGAGGCAUGGAAUGGUUGGGGUAAAAGGGUUCUUAAAGAUCAUAAAUGCAUGGGAUGAGUUGGAAGGGUCCUUAAAGAUCAUAGAGGCAUGGACUGGUUGAGGUAAAAGGGUUCUUAACGAUGGUAAAUGCAUGGGAUGGGUUGGAAGGGUCCUUAGAGGUUGUAGAGCCAUAGGAUGUGUGGGUUGGAAGGGUCCUUCAAGGUCAUGGAGCCAUUGAAUGGGAUGGGUUGGAAAGGUUGUUACAGAUCAUAGAGCCAUGGGAUGAUUGGGUCGGAAGGGUCCUUACAGAUCACACAACCACAGCAUGGUUGGGUUGGAAGGGUCCUUACAGAUCACACAACCACAACACAGUUGGGUCUGAAGGGUCCUUACAGAUCACACAACCACAAAAUGGUUGGGUUGGAAGGGUCCUUACAGAUCAGAUUCCUGUGGCACCCUAUGGGUCCUUAUGGCACCCUAUAUAUUCCUAUGAGUCCCUAUGGCACCCUAUGGAUUCCUGUGGCACCCUAUGGGUCCUUAUGGCACCCUAUGAUUCCUAUGGGUCCCUAUGGCUCCCUAUGGCACCCUAUAGAUUCCUAUGGCUCCCUGUGGCUCCCUAUGGAUCCCUAUGACACCCUAUGGAUUCCUGUGGCACCCUAUGCGAUCCCUAUGGCUCCCUAUGGAUUCCUGUGACACCCUAUGCGUUCCCUAUGACACCCUAUGGAUUCCUAUUGGUCCCUAUGGCACCCUAUGGCACCCUAUAGAUUCCUAUGGCUCCCUAUGGAUUCCUAUGACACCCUAUUGGUUCAUUAUGGCACCCUAUAGAUUCCUAUGGCUCCCUAUGGCUCCCUAUGGCACCCUAUGGAUUCCUAUUGGUCCCUAUGGCACCCUAUGGCACCCUAUAGAUUCCUAUGGCUCCCUAUGGAUUCCUGUGACACCCUAUGCGUUCCCUAUGACACCCUAUGGAUUCCUAUUGGUCCCUAUGGCUCCCUAUGGCACCCUAUGCCAUCCCUAUGGCUCCCUAUGGAUUCCUAUGACACUCUAUGGAUUCCUGUGACACCCUAAGCGUUCCCUAUGGCACCCUAUGGAUUCCUAUGGCACCCUAUGGGUCCUUAUGGCACCCUAUGCGAUCCCUAUGGCACCCUAUGAUUCCUAUGGGUCCCUAUGAUUCCUAUGGGUCCCUAUGGCACCCUAUAGAUUCCUAUGGGUCCCUAUGGAUUCCUGUGACACCCUAUGCAAUCCCUAUGACGCUCUAUGGAUUCCUAUGGGUCCCCAUGGCUCCCUAUGGCACCCUAUGCCAUCCCUAUGGCUCCCUAUGGAUUUCUGUGACACCCUAUGGAUUCCUGUGACACCCUAUGUGUUCCCUAUGGCAUCCUAUGGGUCCCUAUGGCACCCUAUGGGUCCUUAUGGCACCCUAUGAUUCGUAUGGGUCCCUAUGGCUCCCUAUGGCACCCUAUAGAUUCCUAUGGGUCCUUAUGGCUCCCUAUGGAUUCCUAUGGCACCCUAUGGAUUCCUGUGGCACCCUAUGGGUCCUUAUGGCACCCUAUGCGAUCCCUAUGCGAUCCCUGUGGCACCCUAUGGGUCCCUAUGGCACCCUAUAGAUUCCUAUGGCUCCCUAUGGAUUCCUGUGACACCCUAUGCCAUCCCUAUGGCUCCCUAUGGAUUCCUAUGACACCCUAUGGAUUCCUGUGGCACCCUAUGCGUUCCCUAUGGCACCCUAUGGAUUCCUGUGCCACCCUAUGGGUCCUUAUGGCACCCUAUGCGAUCCCUAUGGCACCCUAUGCGAUCCCUAUGGCACCCUAUGAUUCCUAUGGGUCCCUAUGAUUCCUAUGGGUCCCUAUGGCACCCUAUAGAUUCCUGUGGGUCCCUAUGGAUUCCUGUGACACCCUAUGCGUUCCCUGUGGCACCCUAUGGAUUCCCGUGGCACCCUUUGGGUCCUUAUGGCUCCCUAUGGCACCCUAUGCCAUCCCUAUGGCUCCCGAUGGAUUCCUAUGACACUCUAUGGAUUCCUGUGACACCCUAUGCGAUCCCUAUGACACCCUAUGGAUUCCUGUGGCACCCUAUGGGUCCUUAUGGCACCCACUGGUUCUCCAGGCCGCCUGGUCUGUUGGCAAGCGCCCCUUGCACCCAUCUGAGUGUUGUAAGUCCGCGAUCCUUUUUCCAUCCAUGCCGCGCUGUGACCACACGGCUCACGGUCUCCCUUCUGCCCCGC